AUUAGCAGCCAUAUCACCCUGCAACUCACAACUGGCAACCCACUGAAGCUAAGCAGGUGUGAGCCUGCUCAGUACCUGGAUGGGAGACUUCCUGGGAAAAACUAAGGUUGCUGCUGGAA
ensembl:rRNA 5S_rRNA 5S ribosomal RNA